GGUUAAGCGACUAAGCGUACACGGUGGAUGCCCUGGCAGUCAGAGGCGAUGAAGGACGUGCUAAUCUGCGAUAAGCGUCGGUAAGGUGAUAUGAACCGUUAUAACCGGCGAUUUCCGAAUGGGGAAACCCAGUGUGAUUCGUCACACUAUCAUUAACUGAAUCCAUAGGUUAAUGAGGCGAACCGGGGGAACUGAAACAUCUAAGUACCCCGAGGAAAAGAAAUCAACCGAGAUUCCCCCAGUAGCGGCGAGCGAACGGGGAG
rnacentral:rRNA from 2 species